rnacentral:rRNA from 1 species
AACGAACGCUGGCGGCAUGCCUAACACAUGCAAGUCGAACGAACCCUUCGGGGUGAGUGGCGCACGGGUGCGUAACGCGUGGGAACCUGCCUUUAGGUUUGGAAUAACAGUGAGAAAUCGCUGCUAAUACCAAAUAAUGUCUUCGGACCAAAGAUUUAUCGCCUUUAGAUGGGCCCGCGUUGGAUUAGCUAGUUGGUGGGGUAAAGGCUCACCAAGGCGACGAUCCAUAGCUGGUCUUAGAGGAUGAUCAGCCACACUGGGACUGAGACACGGCCCAG